rnacentral:rRNA from 1 species
UACAGAGGAUGCAAGCGUUAUCCGGAAUGAUUGGGCGUAAAGCGUCUGUAGGUGGCUUUUUAAGUCCGCCGUCAAAUCCCAGGGCUCAACUCUGGACAGGCGGUGGAAACUACCAAGCUGGAGUACGGUAGGGGCAGAGGGAAUUUCCGGUGGAGCGGUGAAAUGCGUAGAGAUGCGGAGGAACACCGAUGGCGAAGGCAGCCCCCUGGGCUAACACUGACGCUCAGGCACGAAAGCGUGGGGAGCAAACAGG